rnacentral:snRNA from 1 species
CAACUUAGCUGGCAGGGGAGAUACCAUGAUCACGAAGGUGAUUUUCCCAGGAUGAGGCUCAUCCAUUGCACUGCGGGUGUGCUGACCCCUGUGAUUUCCCCAAAUGCGGGAAACUCGACUGCAUAAUUUGUGGUAGUGGGGGACUGCGUUCGCGCUCUCCCCUG